rnacentral:rRNA from 1 species
UACGGAGGGAGCGAGCGUUGCUCGGAAUCACUGGGCGUAAAGCGUACGCAGGCGGCUCGUUAAGUCGGGUGUGAAAGCCCGGGGCUCAACCCCGGAAUUGCGCCCGAUGCUGGCGAGCUUGAGUACGGGAGAGGGAUAGCGGAAUUCCUGGUGUAGAGGUGAAAUUCGUAGAUAUCAGGAGGAACACCAGUGGCGAAAGCGGCUUCCUGGCCCGAUACUGACGCCCAUGUACGAAAGCGUGGGGAGCAAACAGG